CCUACGGGUGGCAGCAGUGGGGAAUAUUGCGCAAUGGGCGAAAGCCUGACGCAGCGACGCCGCGUGAGGGAUGAAGGUCUUCGGAUCGUAAACCUCUGUCAGCAGGGAAGAACGGUCACUGUGCUAAUCAGCAGUGACUUGACGGUACCUGCAAAGGAAGCACCGGCUAACUCCGUGCCAGCAGCCGCGGUAAUACGGAGGGUGCGAGCGUUAAUCGGAAUUACUGGGCGUAAAGCGCUCGUAGGCGGUAUGUCAAGUCAAGGGUGAAAUCCCCGCGCUCAACGUGGGAACUGCCGUUGAAACUGGCGAACUGGAGUGUGGGAGAGGAUAGUGGAAUUCCAGGUGUAGGGGUGAAAUCCGUAGAUAUCUGGAGGAACAUCAGUGGCGAAGGCGACUAUCUGGCACAUAACUGACGCUGAGGAGCGAAAGCGUGGGUAGCAAACAGGAUUAGAUACCCGGGUAGUC
rnacentral:rRNA from 1 species